rnacentral:rRNA from 1 species
CGGUGGAUUAUGCGGUUCAAUUCGAUGCUAAACGAAAAACCUUACCAAGGCUAGAAAUCUAUCUGAAUCCAAGCAGAAACGUUUGGAGUCUCACAAGGACAGAUAGACAGGUGAUGCAUGGCCGUCGUCAGUUCGUGAUUUGAAUUGUUCCCUUAAGUGGGGUAACGAACGCAACCCUCGUUGGCUGUUACAAGUGUCAGCCGAGACUACCCAGCACCAAGCUCGCAGAGCUUGGUGCAAAUCCGAAGCACGAAAUCCGAAAUCCGAAACGUUUUUAAUUUUUAAAUUUAAAAAUUUUGAAUUUGUUUUGAAUUUCGAUAUUCGAAUUUCGAAUUUGCAAACCAACUUCGUUGGUUUGGUGCUGGGAGGAAGCGAGGAUGACGCCAGGUCAGCAUGUCCCUUGACGCCUUGGGCUACACGCAUAAUACAAUGGUCAUUACAACGGGUCGCGACAGCGUAAGCUUGAGCUAAUCCUAUAAAAAUGGCCCCAGUUCGGAUAGAGGGCUGAAACUCGACCUCUUGAAGUUGGAAUCGCUAGUAAUCGCGGGUCAGCUAUACCGCGGUGAAUACGUUCUCAAGUCUUGUACUCACCGCCCGUCAAGUCAGGGAAGUUGGGAGUACCCAAAGGCUCACGUAAGUGGGACUAAGGUAAACUCAAUAACAAGGACUAAGUCGUAACAAGGCACGGGUAGCGGAAGCUGUUCGUGGAAUA